UUAAAUUGAAGAGUUUGAUCAUGGCUCAGAUUGAACGCUGGCGGCAGGCCUAACACAUGCAAGUCGAACGGUAACAGGAAGCAGCUUGCUCUCGGGUGACGAGUGGCGGACGGGUGAGUAAUGUCUGGGAAACUGCCUGAUGGAGGGGGAUAACUACUGGAAACGGUGGCUAAUACCGCAUAACGUCGCAAGACCAAAGAGGGGGACCUUCGGGCCUCUUG
rnacentral:rRNA from 1 species